CCAACCACUCGACCGCAGCGCCGGCUUCCUCCCCAAACACAGUCGCCGCCGACCGCCUAGUCGUCGUCGAGCACCCUUCACCGCCUCGUCCCCAUCCCCCGCGCACCCAGCGCCUACUUCCUCCUGAGGAAUGCCGCCGACCGCCCUCCAUCCCCACCACAACAGCGACCUCCUCCACAGGUUUCCUCCCCCGAGCAGGCCUCCUCCUCCUCAAGCUUUCUCCCUCGAGCAAGGCCUCCUCCUCCACGAGCAUCCUUACACGAGCACUAAGUUGGGCUGCCUCCUGGUUCCCUCACCCGAGCAGCGGACCUUCCUGUACGGCCCCUCUCCCGAGAAGCUCCACCUCCUCUACAUCCUCCCCUAGCUGAGAAUGACUUAUAAGUUCAUGGCAAAAGUAGCAACAUCAGUACGUAACCACAAGCAAGCUGAGGGGUUAUUUCUAGACAAAGCUUUAGGAACCGAGUUCACUACAACUCGAAGUCUUGUGCACGGAGGAGAAUUGAGAUAUUUGCGCAUUCUGUACUAGUCAAAAGGUAUGUGUAGAUAUUCUGCUCAUUCUAGUUCAUGCUGCUACUUUAUUAAGGUCUUCUUUUAUGAGCCUCUACCUUCUGCAAAUAAUACGAUUAUUUAGUAGCCUGGUUUCAUAGCUUUGAAUCUCAUGUGAAUAAACUAUAUGUCUAGGUGUUUGCUGUUCUUUGCUUAACUAGAUAUCGAAGUAUAGACAACAAGCUCAUGUACAAGAUGGCAAUUAUGAUGGUUAUUUAGUUUACUUCAUUGGUUCUCAGCAUAUUAAUUGAUUGUAACGUUCUAGCUUUAUUUAAUAAGAAGAUGUAAAAGAAACAACAAGUAAUCUCCAUUUUUUGUUCUACAAUAUAGAUAGUUUACCAAGCUUAUUAACUUAUAGCAGAUCUACUAUCUUCUCCUUUCAGGUUGGCAUCAUGGUUGGAAGAUCUUGUGUGCUACUCUCUACACGAUGUUUCUUCUACAUGAUAGCACUUGACGUCUACAUGAUAGCACUUGAAGUCUACAUGAUGUUUCUUGUAUUCAUAGCUCAAACCAUUUGUUUAGCUUAGUUUGAACAAAAACUAUUAUUGUCUUACAUGUAAAUAAUGUUUACUAAUGUAGCUGGAUGCUACUGAACGCAUGUACGAAAGUCAAAAUACUAAGUGUUAGUCAUUAUGUGUUUGAGAA